UUUCAACUAAUUAUCUGAAAAUAAAUUAAACCUCUAGAUCCCAGAAUUAUACCAAGAUACUAAACAACUUUUUAACUAAACAAAAAUAUUCUGAUUCC